AUGUUUAAUUCUUUAUCUUCUCCGUUAUCUACCGAGAAUGAAGUUCUAAAUUUUAAGCAAAGGGAGGGAGAAAAUCUGAAAGACGCUUGGUAUAGAAUUUGCAAUGCUCAAAACAGAUCUACCAGGAAACAAUCUACUUCAGUUCUUCUUCGUAAUUUUUACGUAGGUGCUAAUCCUUGGUAUAGAUAUAUCCUUGAUACCAUUACCGGAGGGAAUUUCUUGGGUAGCCAUACUUUUGAUUCUUAUAAUGCUUUAAUAGAUUUAUUUGGCACACCACCUCUUUUGAUUAAUGGGACUACGUUAACUUUGGAGCAUGUUAUGAAAAGACUUGAAAUUAUUGAAAAUAAAGUUGCUACCAUUGAAUCAAUUGAAAAUCUUGAUAAAAAGAUCCACAAUCAAAUUACCCAAUAUGGAUCUAAGGUAGGAAUGACUUUGAAAAAUAUUAAAGAAAAAGAACCCAUAGUUAAUGAGAAAAUAAAUCUAGAUUCCACAAGAAUCGAUAAACUUGAGGGUAUCAUUAGCAACUUGGGAACCGCUUUUUCUUCCGUACAAAACACUCCAAGUUCUUCUACUAAAAAUACUAAGCUCAUUUAUGUUCCUAAGAAUAAGGGUGAAUUAUCUAGUAAGGAAACUGCGGAUCUUAAAUCUAUAAGUGUUCAUCCCAAUCUUUUUACCAUCAUUAAGGAACCUUUUGCUAUGAAUGAAUAUUUCGAUCUUUUGCCUGAAAAUUUGAUAAUUAGUAGAAAAAAAGAAAAUUCUAAAGGAUCUAGAUGCCUCAUUUAG
rnacentral:rRNA from 1 species